rnacentral:rRNA from 1 species
AACGGGUGAGGAACACGUGGGCAAUCUGCCCCUAACUCUGGGAUAACUACUCGAAAGAGUAGCUAAUACCGGAUACGAAAUCUGAGGACAUCCUCGGAUUUGGAAAGUUUUUCGGUGAAGGAUGAUCUCGCGGCCUAUCAGCUUGUUGGUGAGGUAACGGCUCACCAAGGCUACGACGGGUAACCGGCCUGAGAGGGCGAACGGUCACACUGGGACUGAGAUACGGCCCAGACUCC